rnacentral:rRNA from 1 species
ACGAACGCUGGCGGCGUGCCUAACACAUGCAAGUCGAGCGGAGUCAGUAAGAGGAAGUUUCGGACGGAAUCUGUUGAUUAGCGGCGGACGGGUGAGUAACGCGUGAGCGACCAACCUUGCACAGGGGGAUAACGGACCGAAAGGUUCACUAAUACCGCAUGAGACCACGGUGUUGCAUGACACAGGGGUCAAAGGAGCAAUCCGGUGCAAGACGGGCUCGCGUCCGAUUAGGUAGUUGAGGGUAACGGCCCACCAAGCCUUAUGAUCGGUAGCCGACCUGAGAGGGUGAUCGGCCACAUUGGAACUGAGAUACGGUCCAAACUCCUACGGGAGGCAGCAGUGGGGAAUAUUGGGCAAAUGGGGGAAACCCUGACCCAGCAACGCCGCGUGAAGGAAGAAGGUUUUCGGAUUGUAAACUUCUGUCCUUGGUGAAGAGGAGAAGACGGUAGCCAAGGAGGAAGCCCCGGCUAACUACGUGCCAGCCGCUGC